GAUAACCGUGGUAAUUCUAGAGCUAAUACAUGCUGGUAGGCCCGACUUUUGCGGAAGGGCGGUAUUUAUUAGAUAACAAGCCAAUAUUCCUCUGGUCUAUUGUGGUGACUCAUAAUAACUGAUCGAAUCGCAAGGCCCUUGGCCGCGAUAAGUCAUUCAAGUUUCUGCCCCAUCAGCUUUCGAUGGUAGUGUAUUGGACUACCAUGGCGUUUACGGGUAACGGAGGAUUAGGGUUCGAUUCCGGAGAGGGAGCCUGAGAAACGGCUACCACAUCUAAGGAAGGCAGCAGGCGCGUAAAUUACCCAAUCCUGACUCAGGGAGGUAGUGACAAGAAAUAACGGACCGAGGCCUUCGGGCUUCGGGAUUGGAAUGAGCCGAAUUUACACCCCUUAGCGAAGAUCGAUUGGAGGGCAAGUCUGGUGCCAGCAGCCGCGGUAAUUCCAGCUCCAAUAGCGUAUAUUAAAGUUGUUGCAGUUAAAAAGCUCGUAGUUGGAUUUCUGGGAGGGUGCCGAUGUUCACUUAACGUGUGCGCAGCGGCGCCCUCUCAUCCUUCUGUUAGCGUCUCUUGGCAUUCAUUUGCUGGUGGCGGGCUCAGAUAUUUUACCUUGAGAAAAUUAGAGUGUUUCAGGCAGGCUAGGCCGGAAUACAUUAGCAUGGAAUAAUGGAAUAGGACUACGGUCUCUUUGUUGGUUUGAGGGACUGCAGUAAUGAUUAAUAGGGAUAGUUGGGGGCAUUAGUACUUAACUGUCAGAGGUGGAAUUCUCAGAUUUGUUAAAGACUGACUUAUGCGAAAGCAUUUGCCAAGGAUGUUUUCAUUAAUCAAGAACGAAAGUUAGGGGAUCAAAGACGAUCAGAUACCGUCCUAGUCUUAACCAUAAACUAUGCC
rnacentral:rRNA from 1 species